UGCAGUCGAACGAUGAUGCCCAGCUUGCUGGGCGGAUUAGUGGCGAACGGGUGAGUAAUACGUGAGUAACCUGCCCUUGACUCUGGGAUAAGCCUGGGAAACUGGGUCUAAUACUGGAUACUACCUCUUGCCGCAUGGUGGGUGGUGGAAAGGGUUUUACUGGUUUUGGAUGGGCUCACGGCCUAUCAGCUUGUUGGUGGGGUAAUGGCUCACCAAGGCGACGACGGGUAGCCGGCCUGAGAGGGUGACCGGCCACACUGGGACUGAGACACGGCCCAGACUCCUACGGGAGGCAGCAGUGGGGAAUAUUGCACAAUGGGCGGAAGCCUGAUGCAGCGACGCCGCGUGAGGGAUGACGGCCUUCGGGUUGUAAACCUCUUUCAGUAGGGAAGAAGCGAGAGUGACGGUACCUGCAGAAGAAGCGCCGGCUAACUACGUGCCAGCAGCCGCGGUAAUACGUAGGGCGCAAGCGUUGUCCGGAAUUAUUGGGCGUAAAGAGCUCGUAGGCGGUUUGUCGCGUCUGCUGUGAAAGCCCGGGGCUCAACCCCGGGUCUGCAGUGGGUACGGGCAGACUAGAGUGCAGUAGGGGAGACUGGAAUUCCUGGUGUAGCGGUGAAAUGCGCAGAUAUCAGGAGGAACACCGAUGGCGAAGGCAGGUCUCUGGGCUGUUACUGACGCUGAGGAGCGAAAGCAUGGGGAGCGAACAGGAUUAGAUACCCUGGUAGUCCAUGCCGUAAACGUUGGGCACUAGGUGUGGGGGACAUUCCACGUUUUCCGCGCCGUAGCUAACGCAUUAAGUGCCCCGCCUGGGGAGUACGGCCGCAAGGCUAAAACUCAAAGGAAUUGACGGGGGCCCGCACAAGCGGCGGAGCAUGCGGAUUAAUUCGAUGCAACGCGAAGAACCUUACCAAGGCUUGACAUUCACCGGACCGCCCCAGAGAUGGGGUUUCCCUUCGGGGCUGGUGGACAGGUGGUGCAUGGUUGUCGUCAGCUCGUGUCGUGAGAUGUUGGGUUAAGUCCCGCAACGAGCGCAACCCUCGUUCUAUGUUGCCAGCACGUGAUGGUGGGGACUCAUAGGAGACUGCCGGGGUCAACUCGGAGGAAGGUGGGGAUGACGUCAAAUCAUCAUGCCCCUUAUGUCUUGGGCUUCACGCAUGCUACAAUGGCCGGUACAAAGGGUUGCGAUACUGUGAGGUGGAGCUAAUCCCAAAAAGCCGGUCUCAGUUCGGAUUGAGGUCUGCAACUCGACCUCAUGAAGUCGGAGUCGCUAGUAAUCGCAGAUCAGCAACGCUGCGGUGAAUACGUUCCCGGGCCUUGUACACACCGCCCGUCAAGUCACGAAAGUUGGUAACACCCGAAGCCGGUGGCCUAACCCCUUGUGGGAGGAGCCGUCGAA
rnacentral:rRNA from 1 species